rnacentral:lncRNA from 1 species
GGAAAACUACACCGGCGUGGCACACAGGAAGAGACAAGAACAUGCAUGGUAGUAAUGGAAUCAACCUGUUAACUAACAUUGUUUUCUCCUUCAUCUUUUUGGUUCUAUACUAGUGGGGACAUAUACCUAACUGGAUCAUGCAUGUAUCCCUAUCCAUGUGCAGCUAGCGUUGUCACGCCCCGAGACAGGGCCUAGGCGAGACAGCAGCCGCGCGCCUAUAGAUCAGGAGGACUAUAGUCACGCAAGGCGUGAUUAAUUAAGCAUUAACCAUUAGUGGAUCACAAAAGCUCAUAUAUAUUGACUACAGAAAUUUCUUUACAUUUACAAAUAGCCAAAAUACAUUAGAAUUCUCUAGUCGUUUCCCACCCACUGGUCAGGCCUAACUUGAAUGACGACGUCUUCAAGACAUGUUACUUUAAUCAUCGUCUAUUCUUCUGUGACAUCUUCUAGGCAUACUUAAUUUGCAUCGUUUGCAUCUAAAAAAACAAAGGAAGCAAGGAUGAGUAUGACAAGUCAUACUCAGCAAGCAGAUAGUUCACUAUUCAACAAGGAGCAACGGUAUGAUGGUGUAGAUCAACAGACGAACUGAAUUCAAAGGAUAACAAGGUGAUAACCAUUGGAAUUGUACCUUAAUAUAAAUGGGCAAAAGAACAAAAAAUAGUAGAUUUAGUGAAUACAACAAGGAAUUUAUUGGCGUCACAUAUGACCGCAAGCUUCCCAACCCGGGAGUCACAGGGGUGAAAUUUCACACUUUUACGCUCUUAAGAGGGGUACUCCGACAUCAACAGCCUCGACUAGAACCACACAGGUUCCAGAAGAGCAGAGCUCUUUUACCCACUAAGACCCGGACACCUGGACCUACUGAUGUCGGUCGCUCCUACGGAUCCAUCACCGACAUGUUCCCGAACAAGGUCUGUCCUUAGCGGAGAACCCAGACAGUCCCAUACCUUAACUGUGACCGGUACAAUACGUUUGCCGUCGUGACACCAAUAUAGCAAGGAUGGAUAGAAUAUGACAUGUAGAUGGAUCAGCAAUAGGAUCACUGAAAUAUUAGUCAAGACGACACGCUCAUGCCUUUACAUGAGUUUCUCCAAAAUACUCUGAUUUCAUCAACAAAUGGAUUACGAGGACAACAUAUCCCUUUCUCAAGGAUCAAGAGGAUCAAUAAAGAUCAACGUGCAAUAAUAUUAUCAGAUAAUCAAAGAAGCCAACAAUAAUGCGAGACCAGAAAGUUUAGCAAAGCAGCUACUUGCCUAGAUAUUAGAAAUUAUUCUUCAUGGCACCAGAUACAUAUUUCCUCCGAUCGACCGCCGGUAUAUAACGCCGCACCAGUCAUCAUAGUAUAUGUAUGUUCUACACAUAGCAUAUACACCUCGAUUAUCCCUUCUAUGCAGUGGAUGCAGCGUCUCCUCCUCGCUCUGCCCUCUCAUGUGAACUCAGGUUCUAUGCGUCUCUCCUUCUCUCAAUAGCGUGUGAGGUGGGAAGUGAGCAGCAGAAGCAAACAACUAUAUAUAGGGAGCG